rnacentral:rRNA from 1 species
AAAUUGAAGAGUUUGAUCAUGAAACCAGAUUGAACGCUGAAAGCGGCGACUAACACAUACAAGUCGAACAGUAACGGAAGCAGCUUUGCUGCUUUGCUGACAGUGGCGGACGAAGGUGGUAAUGUCUGAAACUGCCUGAUGGAGGAUAACUACUGGAAACGUUGGCUAAUACCGCAUAACGUCGCAAGACCAAGAGGGGCAACCUGGGCCUCUUGCCAUCAAGAUGUGCCCAGAUAGGGAUUAGCUUGUUGGUGAGGUAACGGCUCACCAGGCGACGCGUCCUGCUUUGGUGAGAGGAUGACCAGCCACACUGGAACUGGGAAAAAGCGGUCCAGACUCCUACGGGAGGCAGCAGUGGGAAUAUUGCACAAUGGAAGCAAACGAUGCAGCCAUGCCGCGUGUAUGAAGAAGGCCUUCGGGUUGUAAAGAAUACUUUCAGCGGGGAGGAAGAUUGUUUGGUUAAUAACCACAGCAGUGACGUUACCCGCAGAAGCUUCGGCUUUAACUCCGUGCCAGCAGCCGCGGUAAUACGGAGGGUGCAAGCGUUAAUCGGAAUUACUGGGCGUAAAGCGCACGCAGGCGGUCUAUUCAAGUCGGAUGUAAUCCCCGGGCUCAACACAGGAACUGCAUUCGAAACUGGCAGGCUUGAGUCUUCAGCCAGGGGGUAAAUUCCGGGUGUAGCGGUGGAGAAAUGCGUAGGGUCUGGAGGAGGGGCUACAUUUGGCGAAGGCGGCCCCACGGACAAAGACGCUUGACGCUCAGGUGCAGCGUGGGGAGCAAGCAAGUUGAAUACCACGGUAGUCACGCCGUAAACGUCAUCUGCUGGAGGUUGUGCCCUUGAGGCGUGGCUUCCGGAGCUAACGCGUUAAGUAGACCGCACGGGGAGUACGGCCGCAAGGUUAAAACUCAAAUGAAUUGACGGGGGCCCGCACAAGCGGUGGAGCAUGUGGUUUAAUUCGAUGCAACGCGAAGAACCUUACGGUCUUGACAUCCACGGAAGUUUUCAGAGAUGAGAAUGUGCCUUCGGGAACCGUGAGACAGGUGCUGCAUGGCUGUCGUCAGCUCGUGUUGUGAAAUGUUGGGUUAAGUCCCGCAACGAGCGCAACCCUUAUCGCUUUGUUGCCAGCGGUUAGGCCGAAGAACUCCAAAGGGAGACUGCCAGUGAUAAACUGGAGGAAGGUGGGGAUGACACGUCCAAGUCAUCAUGGCCCACUUGACGGGGCUACACGUGCUACAAUGGCGCAUACAAGAGAAGCGACCUCGCGAGUACAAGCGGGCCUCAUAAAGUGCGUCGUGGUCGGAUGAGUCUCUACGCUCGACUCCAUGAAGUCGGAAUCGCUAGUAAUCGUGGAUCGAACACGGUGAAUACGUUCAGGCCUUGUACGCACCGCCCGUCACACACCAUGGGGUGGGUUGCAAAAGAAGUAGGUAGCUUAACCUUCGGGAGGGCGCUUACCACUUUGUGAUUCAUGACUGGGGUGAAGUCAAGCUGAAAACAAGGUAACCGUAGGGGAACCUGCGGUUGGAUCACACCUGCG